UACGGAGGAUCCAAGCGUUAUCCGGAAUCAUUGGGUUAAAGGGUCCGUAGGCGGUUUAAUAAGUCAGUGGUGAAAGCCCAUCGCUCAACGGUGGAACGGCCAUUGAUACUGUUAGACUUGAAUUAUUAGGAAGUAACUAGAAUAUGUAGUGUAGCGGUGAAAUGCUUAGAGAUUACAUGGAAUACCAAUUGCGAAGGCAGGUUACUACUAAUUGAUUGACGCUGAUGGACGAAAGCGUGGGUAGCGAACAGG
rnacentral:rRNA from 1 species